rnacentral:rRNA from 1 species
CCUACGGGAGGCAGCAGUGGGGAAUAUUGCACAAUGGGGGAAACCCUGAUGCAGCAACGCCGCGUGAAGGAAGACGGUUUUCGGAUUGUAAACUUCUGUUCUUAGUGAAGAAUAAUGACGGGAGCGAAGGAGCAAGCCACGGCUAACUAGGUGCCAGCAGCCGCGGUAAUACGCCGGUGGCAAGCGUGGGCCGGAAUUACUGGGUGUACAGGGAGCGCAGGCGGGAAGCCAAGUCAGCUGUGAAAACUACGGGCUUAACUUGUAGACUGCAGUUGAAACUGGUUUUCUUGCGUGCAGUAGAGGUUGGCGGACUUCCGAGUGUAGCGGUGAAAUGC